GACAGAGGGUGCAAACGUUGUUCGGAAUUACUGGGCGUAAAGCGCGUGUAGGCGGCUUGGUAAGUCGGAUGUGAAAGCCCUGGGCUCAACCCGGGAAGCGCAUUCGAAACUGUCGAGCUCGAGUUCUGGAGAGGAUGGCGGAAUUCUCGGUGUAGAGGUGAAAUUCGUAGAUAUCGAGAGGAACACCGGCGGCGAAGGCGGCCAUCUGGACAGUGACUGACGCUGAGACGCGAAAGCGUGGGGAG
rnacentral:rRNA from 1 species